rnacentral:rRNA from 1 species
GACGAACGCUGGCGGCGUGCUUAACACAUGCAAGUCGAACGCUGAAGCUCAGCUUUUGUUGGGUGGAUGAGCGGCGAACGGGUGAGUAACACGUGAGUAACCUGCCCCCUUCUUUGGGGUAACGCCCGGAAACGGGUGCUAAUACUGGAUAUUCACUGGUCUUCGCAUGGGGGUUGGUGGAAAGGGUUUUUCUGGUGGGGGAUGGGCUCGCGGCCUAUCAGCUUGUUGGUGGGGUGAUGGCCUACCAAGGCUUUGACGGGUAGCCGGCCUGAGAGGGUGACCGGUCACAUUGGGACUGAGAUACGGCCCAGACUCCUACGGGAGGCAGCAGUGGGGAAUAUUGCACAAUGGGCGCAAGCCUGAUGCAGCGACGCCGCGUGAGGGAUGGAGGCCUUCGGGUUGUGAACCUCUUUCGCUCAUGGUCAAGCCGCAACAAUGGUUGUGGUGAGGGUAGUGGGUAAAGAAGCGCCGGCUAACUACGUG